rnacentral:lncRNA from 1 species
CUCAAUAAUAUUUUACAAAAUCAAGGCACCCUAAUAAGCUUUCACAUGCCAUAUGUUUGAGUUCUAUUGAUUGAACAUGAUGCACCAUUUGAUGACGAGAAAUUACUCUUCAUACAAAGUUUUGAUUCUUCAUGAAGUAAUUCAAACAAAAAAAAUGUACUGAUUCAUGGAUAAACACAUCCCAGACAUGAGACAUGAAAGAAUAAUAUCGUAAUAAUUUGAAUUUAAAAUCCUUGAAGAGAGACAACAUUUGGAAUAAAAACACAAUUUGCAUAGCCUCUAACCGAAAACCCUGUAUCUGUCACGAGGCAGAUGCCAAAUGCUAGUUGGUGCACCUUGCGCUCAGGGGUCUUGCAUCAAGCCUUCUCUUUUUACAAUCCAAUAACCUGUCUGAGUCAUAUUUCAUGUUUCAAAGUGAUCCAUUUGAUUCUCAAAGUGCAUAGUUUGAUUGCACUAUUUUAGAGAUUUCUCACAACCUUGUUCAUCUUCAUCAAUGAGAGGAAUUGAAGUGCAUAUCCAUUUAUCCAUUCUUUAAAGAGAAACAAGAUGGCACCACAGAGCUCAAUAUUAAGAAAGUCCAUAGCAACCUUCGACUUGUUUCAAAAAAUACUCCACAAUAUUUUCAAGAGGAUACUAAAAUGUGGGUGAUGCAGGAGAUAAUUUUGAAUCACUUGAUGAUUGCAUAAUUAAUAGGAGAUAAUUUUGAAUCACUUGAUGAUUGCAUAAUUAAUUCUUGAAGUUGCUAAUUUGUCUUCGAAUGCACUAGAUUUAGAUGUCUUUUCAGAGAUAAUGAUCAGUAAGAGGUGAAAGACCUUAUAUUGAUUAGAUAACAUGUUGGUGUUGGAGUCUAUGGUUUUUACAUUUGCAGUGUGUGUGUGUGUGUG